AUCUUUUGGAGGACACCAUAGGUCCAUAACAGCCUGGGAUACCUUACACUUUUAUCUGUAUCCCCUGGUAUCCCUACAAAGCAGAUGUACUGAUAAGCCUCAUCCCUACUGAGAAUCAGACUAGGUUGGCUGAACCUAUUGUGUCCUGCCUCCUUCUCUUAGAAGAAACCAGAGCUGACACUUUGACCAUGUGGAACAGAGCCACUGGAAUUAGAAAGAGGACUAGGCUGGGGAUUGUUCAGUCCUCCACUAAUAUGCUGACUGCCCUUGGCCAAGACCCUUAACAUCUUUGGUAAGUGUUCCUCAAUUAAGUGUGAAUAAUGGCAAUGGCUCAGUAAGAUAUGGAGAGGUGUUUUCAGGCUACAAAUCACAAGUCAUGGUAAGGUCCCCUGUUCUCAUUGCUGUUGGACCUGUUGGCAGGUCCAAGGCAAGUCCAAGACAGGUCCAAGAAUUUCUUCCUCAACCUCAGAUUUUAGGACUUGAGUUUGGGGAGGGUAUAACUGCCAACCCCAGCAGAGACAAAGAGCUACAUGACCCCCACAAUCAUGAGGAGCUGUGCACUGGUGUCCUUCCUUUCUCCCAUCAACCCUAAGGUUUUUGUUUCCUGUUUAUUUGUUUUUGUUUUUUUAUUUCUUUGGUUUAUUGAUUGGUUUGAGUUUUCUUAAAUAUCUUUAUUGAGACAAAAAUUCACAUACUAGAAAAUUCACCAAUUAAAAGUGGACAUUUAAGUGGUUUUUAAUAUAUUUAUAAUCUAAGUUCACCACAAUUUCCAUAACCUAUAUUCACAUUUUCUUCACACUUGAAAGUCCCCAACCCAGUCCCCAUUUCCCUGCUCUAGGAAACCACUCAUCUACUUUUUGCUUUUUUAAAUUUGCCUACUCUAGGCAUUUCAUAUAAAUUCAUAUAAAUGAAAUUAUAAAACACCAUGUAAUAUUUUCUUUUUUUGACAGCUUCUAUCAUUUUACUGAUAUUUUCUGCUUAAUAAUACUUCAUCCUACUUUCCUUUAAUCCUUUAGACAUGGUUUCUUUUAGUUCUUUGAACAUACUUAGGAUUGCUUUGAAGUCUCUGUCAGCUACUGUCCUACAUCUAGGUCACCUCAAAAGCUGUGUCUCUUGUCUGAUUUUUUCCCCCAAUGUAACCCACUUUCCUGUUUCUUUGUAUGUCUCAAAAAUUUGUGUUAACAACUGGACAUUUUGGCUAAUAUAUAAGGCAAACUUGGAUACUGGCUCUCCCUUCUUCUCUGCCGGGUUUCUUGUUAUUUGUACAUUCAUGUGUUUGUUUACUGACAUGGCUGCACUAAUUCUGUGAAGUCAGAUAAAAGUCAGAUUUUUUUUUCUUGCUUUUAAUCUUUU
rnacentral:lncRNA from 1 species